rnacentral:rRNA from 1 species
AGAGUUUGAUCAUGGCUCAGAGCGAACGCUGGCGGCAGGCCUAACACAUGCAAGUCGAGCGCCCCUCCUUCAAGCGAGCUUGGAGGAUUGCGGAGCGGUCUCCUUGGGCGGGCGAAAGCUCGCUUGACGGACAUCGCUGUGAGAUCAAGCGAGCCUUUAGGGGCUCGCUUGAUGGAGGGGAGCGGCAGACGGGAGAGUAACACGUGGGAACGUACCCUUUGGUUCGGAACAACCCAGGGAAACUUGGGCUAAUACCGAAUAAGCCCUUACGGGGAAAGAUUUAUCGCCGAAGGAUCGGCCCGCGUCUGAUUAGCUAGUUGGUGAGGUAACGGCUCACCAAGGCGACGAUCAGUAGCUGGUCUGAGAGGAUGAUCAGCCUCACUGGGACUGAGACACGGCCCAGACUCCUACGGGAGGCAGCAGUGGGGAAUAUUGGACAAUGGGCGCAAGCCUGAUCCAGCCAUGCCGCGUGGGUGAUGAAGGCCCUAGGGUUGUAAAGCCCUUUCGGCGGGGAAGAUAAUGACGGUACCCGCAGAAGAAGCCCGGCUACUUCGUGCCAGCAGCCGCGGUA